UGAGGAAUAUUGGUCAAUGGACGAGAGUCUGAACCAGCCAAGUAGCGUGAAGGAUGACUGCCCUAUGGGUUGUAAACUUCUUUUAUACGGGAAUAAAGUGAGGCACGUGUGCCUUUUUGUAUGUACCGUAUGAAUAAGGAUCGGCUAACUCCGUGCCAGCAGCCGCGGUAAUACGGAGGAUCCGAGCGUUAUCCGGAUUUAUUGGGUUUAAAGGGAGCGUAUGCGGACGCUUAAGUCAGUUGUGAAAGUUUGCGGCUCAACCGUAAAAUUGCAGUUGAUACUGGGUGUCUUGAGUACAGUAGAGGCAGGCGGAAUUCGUGGUGUAGCGGUGAAAUGCUUAGAUAUCACGAAGAACUCCGAUUGCGAAGGCAGCUUGCUGGACUGUAACUGACGCUGAUGCUCGAAAGUGUGGGUAUCAAACAGGAUUAGAUACCCUGGUAGUCCACACAGUAAACGAUGAAUACUCGCUGUUUGCGAUAUACAGUAAGCGGCCAAGCGAAAGCGUUAAGUAUUCCACCUGGGGAGUACGCCGGCAACGGUGAAACUCAAAGGAAUUGACGGGGGCCCGCACAAGCGGAGGAACAUGUGGUUUAAUUCGAUGAUACGCGAGGAACCUUACCCGGGCUUGAAUUGCAACUGAAUGAUGUGGAGACAUGUCAGCCGCAAGGCAGUUGUGAAGGUGCUGCAUGGUUGUCGUCAGCUCGUGCCGUGAGGUGUCGGCUUAAGUGCCAUAACGAGCGCAACCCUUAUCGAUAGUUACCAUCAGGUUAUGCUGGGGACUCUGUCGAGACUGCCGUCGUAAGAUGUGAGGAAGGUGGGGAUGACGUCAAAUCAGCACGGCCCUUACGUCCGGGGCUACACACGUGUUACAAUGGGGGGUACAGAAGGCAGCUACACGGCGACGUGAUGCUAAUCCCGAAAGCCUCUCUCAGUUCGGAUUGGAGUCUGCAACCCGACUCCAUGAAGCUGGAUUCGCUAGUAAUCGCGCAUCAGCCACGGCGCGGUGAAUACGUUCCC
rnacentral:rRNA from 1 species